AGUUUUGAGAUGUGCCUGACCUUCGCUGCCCCAGGAAGCUGCGCUUUCAGAGCUGCCAUCCAGGCACAGUCGGAGGAUUUGCCACUCACGCUGCAAUGCAACAGGAGCGGAGCCCAGAGCUGAGCACAGUCUGCAUCAACUUGAUCCAAGCCACGUCCAGUGCCUCAGAUUCGGUGCGCGCUGCGACAGCUGCCAGCGCCGGGAGGAUGUUGUUGAAAGGCAUAAGGAGCGUGAUUACAAAGGGGCUCAGCUGGGGAGGGCAUGUGAGGCACGGCCGACACAUGCUGCCUGGAAAGGGAGGAUGCAGCUGGGAAGCCUCGAGAAGAGGGGAUGUGACAGUGGCUAGUAUCAGCAAGAGCUGAGACCAUGAAGGAAGGUUUGAGCAUAACCCAUGAAGUCUUCAGUGUGCCCACUGUGCUGAGCGUGCUGGAGUGUGAAUUUGUGUGCUGAGGGCAGGGAGAGGUGGCUCGACCCAGAAGGAAGGAAACAGAUGGUACCUGCAAAAGUUGUUGUGAUCUUCCUAAAUAGCUGCCUUGUAAUACAGCUAAUGCUGGCACAGCUCCCAUCUACAGUACUUUCAUGCUGGCGGCUGACCAAGCCACUUCAGCCUUGUUGUCCAUAGAUGGUUCUUUGAUGAUGUCCAAACGCAAGUCAGUUUUUGGCUGUCCAGGUAAGUCUUUUCCUGGGCAGACACAGAGCACAGACAGACCUGGGGGAGUUUUGAGCAGAUUUGGGAGCGUUCACUCUGUUCUCCCUGUACUCUCUGUGUUGCUUGAACAGCUCUUUCCCUUGGCAAUGUCUUUAGACCCCUUGAAAUCUCCGGUUGGGACUGAGCAUAGAGGUCCAAAAGGGCAAUCAUGACCUGACUGUCUGAAGCGGGCGUGGGCACGGCCUAACCUCGCAAACUCUAUCCACAACUAUCAAAAGGGGCACAGCUGAGGAAGUUUAACUCCAAAGUUCCAAGAAACAUAUAGAUAAUAUAUUAGGGAUUUACAUGUAACAUAUACUAUAUAAAACCCAUCUUGCCAUCAGAUCUCCAAUUUUUCCUGCCUUCCACAAAUGACUGUAGCUCCGUAUACAGUUCCCUAUCUUUCCCACGAGUGACCGAAC